UACGUAGGGGGCAAGCGUUGUCCGGAAUCAUUGGGCGUAAAGCGCGCGUAGGCGGCCUCAUAAGUCCGUUGUGAAAGUCAAAGGCUCAACCUUUGAAAGCCGAUGGAUACUGUGAGGCUAGAGUCCGGAAGAGGCGAGUGGAAUUCCUGGUGUAGCGGUGAAAUGCGCAGAUAUCGGGAAGAACACCCGUGGCGAGGGCGGUUCUCUGGGACGGUACUGACGCUGAGACGCGAAAGCAUGGGGAGCGAACAGG
rnacentral:rRNA from 1 species